rnacentral:lncRNA from 1 species
CUAGAUAGACACUACAACCUGGUCUAGAGAGACACUACAACCUGGUCUAGAGAGACACUACAACCUGGUCUAGAGAGACACUACAACCUGGUCUAGAUAGACACUACAGAGACACUACAACCUGGUCUAGAGAGAUACUACAGAGACACUACAACCUGGUCUAGAGAGAUACUACAACCUGGUCUAGAGAGACACUACAGAGACACUACAACCUGGUCUAGAGAGACACUACAACCUGGUCUAGAGAGACACUACAACCAGGUCUAGAGAGACAGAGACACUACAGAGACACUACAACACAAAGAGAGGAGAGAAGCCAAACUCUCUCUCUCUCUCUCUCUCUCGCUCUCUCGUCAGAACAGAACAAUGUAUGUUGUGUGGCCUCUGUGUUUGAACUCAGUGUCACAAUGGUCACCUCAGUCCCCCCGGACACAGACACCAACCAUUUCACCGACCAUUUCACCGACCAUUUCACCGACCAUUUCACCAACCAUUUCACCGGCCUACUGUAGUUCUGUUAACGUCACUAGCUCUGUCUCUCUCACAGUAACCAUAGUAACAGUGUAUAACACCAGCCAUUAGCAAGGCAAUAACCUGACUACCGUGUGACUAAACCUGCUGUGGAACUCUGGGUAGUGUAGUGUGGCCGGACCAGACUGGGAUCCUGUCAGUGUAUUUAUCUGACUGUAGUAGUGUUCAUGUUCUAGAACUGACAGGGUCAACAGGAAUGUUCUAGAACUGACAGGGUCAACAAGAAUGUUCUAGAACUGACAGGGUUAACAGGAGUGUUCUAGAACUGACAGGGUUAACAGGAGUGUUCUAGAACUGACAGGGUUAACAGGAGUGUUCUAGAACUGACAGGGUUAACAGGAGUGUUCUAGAACUGACAGGGUUAACAGGAAUGUUCUAGAACUGACAGGGUUAACAGGAGUGUUCUAGAACUGACAGGGUUAACAGGAGUGUUCUAGAACUGACAGGGUUAACAGGAGUGUUCUAGAACUGACAGGGUUAACAGGAGUGUUCUAGAACUGACAGGGUUAACAGGAAUGUUCUAGAACUGACAGGGUUAACAGGAGUGUUCUAGAACUGACAGGGUUAACAGGAGUGUUCUAGAACUGACAGGGUUAACAGGAGUGUUCUAGAACUGACAGGGUUAACAGGAGUGUUCUAGAACUGACAGGGUUAACAGGAGUGUUCUAGAACUGACAGGGUUAACAGGAGUGUUCUAGAACUGACAGGGUCAACAGGAAUGUUCUAGAACUGACAGGGUCAACAAGAAUGUUCUAGAACUGACAGGGUUAACAGGAGUGUUCUAGAACUGACAGGGUCAACAGGAAUGUUCUAGAACUGACAGGGUCAACAGGAAUGUUCUAGAACUGACAGGGUUAACAGGAAUGUUCUAGAACUGACAGGGUCAACAGGAGUGUUCUAGAACUGACAGGGUCAACAAGAAUGUUCUAGAACUGACAGGGUCAACAAGAAUGUUCUAGAACUGACAGGGUCAACAGGAAUGUUCUAGAACUGACAGGGUUAACAGGAAUGUUCAAGAACUGACAGGGUCAACAGGAAUGUUCUAGAACUCUGUUGAUCACUAGAAUCUACAUGACUGUUCUAGUCCAGAGUUCUGCAGGACCAGAAGACAUUUUAUAUCCGGAGAGCACCUCGCCCUCGCCGGCUUGACCUUCAGAUGCUGCAGUUCACCAGAGAGGAAGUCAGGAAGUAUUGCCCUCAAGCCGUGGAUACAAUACAAGACAUUCUAACGCCCGGGAAAAACUCACGUUUAAGGAUCACCGUUCAUUAAGUCUUGAGUCUUGUUUUCCUAACAGUGUGCUGUGCUCAUAUUAACAACAUGGCUAACGUAAACGGGAUCACAGGCGUCCAGGUUCUGUGAUCUUGUAGCUAGUGUCCGUCAGUCUGGCUCUAGAGGCCCUGUACAGAACAACAGUUUUUAUAUUUAUAACAUGGAGGAGCAGAGGGAGUUUUACUGAAGAGAACACCCAUGACGUCACCAGGUCAGCCAGUCAGUCAACCAGUUAGCCAGCCAGCCAGCCAGCCAGCCAGUCAGUAAACCAGUCAGUCAAUCAUUUAGUCAGUCAGUAAACCAGUCAGCCAGUAAACCAUCCAGCCAGUCAGUAAAUUAGCCAGACAGUAAAACAUCCAGUAAACCAGCCAGUCAGUAAACCAGUCAGUCAGUAAACCAGCCAGUCUGUAAACCAGUCAGUCAGUAAACCAGUCUACUAGCCAGUUGAUCAUUAAAUCAGUCAGUAACCCAGUCUGCCAGCCAGUCAGUAAACCAGUCUACCAGCCAGUUGAUCAUUAAAUCAGUCAGUAACCCAGUCUGCCAGCCAGUCAGUCAGUAAACCAGUCUACCAGCCAGCCAGUCAGUAAACCAGUCAGUCAGUAAACCAGUCUACCAGCCAGUCAGUAAACCAGUCUACCAGCCAGUCAGUCAGUAAACCAGUCAGUCAGUAAACCAGUCUGCCAGCCAGUCAGUCAGUAAACCAGUCAGUCAGUAAACCAGUCUGCCAGCCAGUCAGUCAGUAAACCAGUCUACCAGCCAGUCAGUCAGUAAACCAGUCUACCAGCCAGCCAGUCAGUAAACCAGCCAGUCAGUAAACCAGUCUGCCAGCCAGUCAGUCAGUAAACCAGUCAGUCAGUAAACCAGUCUACCAGCCAGUCAGUAAACCAGUCAGUCAGUAAACCAGUCUACCAGCCAGUCAGUAAACCAGUCAGUCAGUAAACCAGUUUACCAGCCAGUCAGUAAACCAGCCAGUCAGUAAACCAGUCUGCCAGCCAGCCAGUCAGUAAACCAGUCAGUCAGUAAACCAGUCUACCAGCCAGUCAGUAAACCAGUCUACCAGUCAGUCAGUAAACCAGUCUGCCAGCCAGUCAGUAAACCAGUCUGCCAUCCAGUCAGUAUUCUGCCAACAUGUUCCAGUUAUUCCCUACAGUAUAUACAGUAUAUUAUGCAUCCCGAAUGGCACCCUAUUCCCUUCAUAGUGCACUACUUUAGGCUCUUAGGGCCUCUGGUCAGAAGUAGUGCACUAUAGGGAUUAGGUUUCCAUUUGGGCCAUUCCUCUACAGUUUAAACCCAGAGACAUGCCCAGGCAUACAGACAUACUGUAGUUCUAAGAGAGUGUUUAGGAACUACAGAUCCCAGCAUGUUCUCUGUUACCAGACUGAGUCGAUGACAGCGGAUCAUGGAGGAAAACUGAGACUUUUUCAAUAUCAUAUGGGUGUUGUUGUUGUUAUUGUUGUUUUACAACACAUGAUGUUGUUCCCCAGGAGUUCACGGUCUCAUAUCUCCAUGGAAACUGUCGUUGUGGUUUUGACAGAGCCCAGCCUCAUCCUAGUCGGGUCCUAGAUCUGUUAGUUAGACACACAACCGGUCUAGAACCAGGCCCAUCCAGCUAAUACAGUCGGACCCACAUGUACCUCUCAGAGUCACUUAAAGGACCGGGCUGUGAUUUAAAGGGCCGGUCUGGGAUUUAAACGGCCCAUCUGGGAUUCAAAGGGCCCAUCUGGGAUUUAUUAAACGGCCCAUCUGGGAUUCAAAGGGCCAGUCUGGGAUUUAAACGGCCCAUCUGGGAUUCAAAGGGCCAGUCUGGGAUUUAAACGGCCCAUCUGGGAUUCAAAGGGCCAGUCUGGGAUUUAAACGGCCCAUCUGGGAUUCAAACGGCCAGCCUGGGAUUUAAACGGUCAAUCUGGGAUUAAAAGGGCCAGUCUGGGAUUCAAAGGGCCAGUCUGGGAUUUAAACGGUCAAUCUGGGAUUAAAAGGGCCAGUCUGGGAUUCAAAGGGCCAGUCUGGGAUUUAAACGGCCAAUCUGGGAUUUAAACGGCCCAUCUGGGAUUAAAAGGACCACUCCUGUGGUAUGGUUUGUCUAACAGAGGUGUUGUUACUAUAGAUCUCUGUUGAUUAGAGAGUAACCCUCUGUGUCCGUCUGUGUCCUAAAUCAGCCUGUCUAUAUACUGUACGUCUGCCUGAUAAUAAAUAUCUAAACUUUAACUCCCAUCAGUACUCUCUGUGAUGGUUAAAUGGAACAAUAAAGAUAUAUUUCAUUAGGUUAGAUAGAUCAUCAUUUAUUGAUUUGAUUAUGGACAUGUACAUUUAAAACGUUGAAUUAAAACGUUGAAUUACCAAGAGUCAGAUGGAUUGCAUGCCCCCCUCUCCCUCUUCCCCUGUCUCUGUCUCCCCCUCUCCCUCCCUCUUUCCCUCAGUCUCUGUCUCCCUCCCUCCCCUUCUCCCCCUCAGUCUCUGUCUC